rnacentral:rRNA from 1 species
AUUGAACGCUGGCGGAAUGCUUUACACAUGCAAGUCGAGCGGCAGCGCGGGGCAACCUGGCGGUGAGCGGCAAACGGGUGAGUAAUGCAUCGGAACGUGUCCAUGUCGUGGGGGAUAGCCCGGCGAAAGCCGGAUUAAUACCGCAUACGCCCGAGAGGGGAAAGUGGGGGACCGCAAGGCCUCACGCGGUUGGGUCGGCCGAUGUCCGAUUAGCUAGUUGGCGGGGUAAAGGCCCACCAAGGCGAUGAUCGGUAGCUGGUCUGAGAGGAUGAUCAGCCACACUGGGACUGAGACACGGCCCAGACUCCUACGGGAGGCAGCAGUGGGGAAUUUUGGACAAUGGGGGCAACCCUGAUCCAGCCAUUCCGCGUGAGUGAAGAAGGCCUUCGGGUUGUAAAGCUCUUUUGUCCGGAACGAAACGGAUGACGUGAAUAUCGUCGUCUACUGACGGUACCGGAAGAAUAAGCACCGGCUAACUACGUGCCAGCAGCCGCCGUAA